AUUGAACGCUGGCGGUAGGCCUAACACAUGCAAGUCGAGCGAGCGGCGGACGGGUGAGUAAUGUAUGGGGACUGCCCGCUAGAGGGGGAUAACUACUGGCAACGGUGGCUAAUACCGCAUACUAUCGGAUAACCCAUAUGGUAUUAGCUAGUAGGUGGGGUAAAGGCUCACCUAGGCGACGAUCGCUAGCUGGUCUGAGAGGAUGAUCAGCCACACUGGGACUGAGACACGGCCCAGACUCAUACGGCGGCAGCAGUGGGGAAUAAUGCACAAUGGGCGCAAGCCUGAUGCAGCCAGGCCGCGUGUAUGAAGAAGGCCUUAGGGUUGUAAAGUACUUUCAGCAGGGAGGCGGUACCCGCAGAAGAAGCACCGGCUAACUCCGUGCCAGCAGCCGCGGUAAUUC
rnacentral:rRNA from 1 species